AGGAUGAACGCUAGCGACAGGCUUAACACAUGCAAGUCGAGGGCAUCACGGGAGUAGCAAUACGAACUGGUGGCGACCGGCGCACGGGUGAGUAACGCGUAUGCAACCUACCUAUCAGAGGGGAAUAACCCGGCGAAAGUCGGACUAAUACCGCAUAAAACAGGGGCACCGCAUGGUGAUAUUUGUUAAAGAAAUUCGCUGAUAGAUGGGCAUGCGUUCCAUUAGGUAGUUGGUGAGGUAACGGCUCACCAAGCCGACGAUGGAUAGGGGAACUGAGAGGUUGGUCCCCCACACUGGUACUGAGACACGGACCAGACUCCUACGGGAGGCAGCAGUGAGGAAUAUUGGUCAAUGGGCGGGAGCCUGAACCAGCCAAGUCGCGUGAAGGAAAGAAGGAUCUAUGGUUCGUAAACUUCUUUUGCAGGGGAAUAAAGUGCAGGACGUGUCCUGUUUUGUAUGUACCCUGAGAAUAAGGAUCGGCUAACUCCGUGCCAGCAGCAGC
rnacentral:rRNA from 1 species